UGGGGAAUAUUGGACAAUGGGCGCAAGCCUGAUCCAGCCAUGCCGCGUGAGUGAUGAAGGCCCUAGGGUUGUAAAGCUCUUUCACCGGUGAAGAUAAUGACGGUAACCGGAGAAGAAGCCCCGGCUAACUUCGUGCCAGCAGCCGCGGUAAUACGAAGGGGGCUGGCGUUGUUCGGAUUUACUGGGCGUAAAGCGCACGUAGGCGGACUUUUAAGUCAGGGGUGAAAUCCCGGGGCUCAACCCCGGAACUGCCUUUGAUCCUGGAAGUCUUGAGUAUGGUAGAGGUCAGUGGAAUUCCGAGUGUAGAGGUGAAAUUCGUAGAUAUUCGGAGGAACACCAGUGGCAAAGGCGGCUCACUGGACCAUUACUGACACUGAGGUGCGAAAGCGUGGGGAGCAAACAGG
rnacentral:rRNA from 1 species